UACGUAGGGUGCAAGCGUUGUCCGGAAUUAUUGGGCGUAAAGAGCUCGUAGGCGGCUUGUCGCGUCGGCUGUGAAAACCUGGGGCUCAACCCCGGCCUGCAGCCGAUACGGCAAGCUAGAAUUCGGUAGGGAGUCUGGAAUUCCUGGUGUAGCGGUGAAUGCGCAGAUAUCAGGAGGAACACCGGUGGCGAAGGCGGACUCUGGCCGAUACUGACGCUGAGGAGCGAAAGCGUGGGAGCAAACAGG
rnacentral:rRNA from 1 species